rnacentral:lncRNA from 1 species
AUUCAAGAGUUGCCUUACUAGAUGGCCUUGGGCAAGUCACAAAACCUUUCUGGGAUUCUCUGAGUGUGGGGUUGAUUUUCUGUCUCUAUCAGGUGAUCCUUUCCCCAUAAUCUUAAUUAUUUAUGCCAUGCUUUCUGUUCUCUUCAGAGAGAUUAGCAUUUACACAUAUGUUAAAUGUUAUUUUCUAAAUGCUAACACCAAUUAAUGCAAUCCUAUCUGUUUUUAACUUCCUUAGCCUCCAUCUUCAGGCAAGAAAGUCUGUGAUAUGAAUGAAGGGAUCAUAAAAGGCACAUGGAAUCAAAGCUUUUGGUCAACUGCCAACAAGGUACAGAGGCCCAACAGCAAUCAUCGAAUGAACUUGGAAGUGGAUCCUCUCACCCCAGUUGAGCCUUCUGAUGACUGCAGCCCUGGCUGAUGCUUGACUACAACUUCAUCAGAAAUCCUCAUGAAGAUCCAGCACCUUCCAGUUAGCCCAUCUAUGAGAAAACCAAUGCUCCGAUGAGUGCAGUGACUUCCCAUGCCUGUGGAGAGUCUAUGCCUUUGAUUGGAUCCCCAGAGGUGGUUUUCACUUGCCCCCCAUUGCCUAUACCAUGUUGCCUUCCUG